GGGAUGCCCUGGAGGCCACACCCCCGGGCUCGGCCAUCACCUGCACACCUGCUUUACAUCCGGGGCGAUUACCCCACGUUGAUGGAUGCUCCAUGCCAGUCCGUUAAUCACCUCUCUGUGAUUACAAUCCAGCAUCCUGCAUCUGCCACCUGCCUGUCCUCCUGCUCGCCUGGACCACCCGGUGCAUCAGCUGGCCUUAUUCCUGACUCCGAUUCACUUUCCACGGACUCACUCACCCCCCUUCCGAGUCCCACGGUCCCUCUCCGAUCCCUCCCACGGUCCCGAUUCCAGCUUCCCUGCGUCAUUUAUUUCCCCGGGUUUUCUUCAGUUCCUCGCUUGCUUCUUUAAUUACUCCGGGUCACCUUUUGUUAAUAUAAUAAACCGUUUUUCUUGCUCGCAUUUGAGUCUGCUUUUGGAUCCUUUUUGUGUGCACACGCUUCGGCGUAUGACAAUUUUUGCUUUUACAUUUCUAACAUGAUGCUUCCAGUGAAUUUUUCUGUUUAACAU